CCGCCCCGGAACUGCUCCGCGCUUCCCGGGCUGGGCCGACUGGCACCGAGAGUUAUGGGCGAGUACUUGCGCAGUUGAGGGAGAGUGGGUGCAAGGGUGAUGGCGAACUUGCUGGCCAACACUUGUAACUCUUUUUGGCGUAUCUGAAUUUUUUCCUUGUCAGAGAAGAGCUUCGCUGUAGGGCCAGUUAGCGUAAAUAGGCACCCUUGGUCUGAUUGUCACUCCUCAGGACACUUGUAUUACCGUCUAGGCAAUAGCAGGGCCAGGACAGGAGCCGACCUCUGGCGAUCAGGUGAUUUUGCUGUCAGUGGGCCCUUUUUCCUCCACUUCACUCUGAUUUCUCGCUAAGCACGAGUCCAGGGCUCAGGUUGGAGCUCUGGCUGGACACACCGCCUGAACACGCUGAGUUGCUGCUCUGCCGGCCAAAGCUGUGGAGCCUUUCCUCCUGGGAAAAGACUUUGCAGUCGGCUGGGUUGAUUAUUGUAAACUGACACUUGCUGUUUGAUUGUCAUUCCGUCCCUAUAUAUCAUACUUGCGAGGGGCCGGGUAUAUAGCUCAGCCGCAGGGCACCUGCCUGGCAAGCGCAAGAUCACGAGUUCCAUCCCCAGUAUUAAACCAAAACCAAACAAACCAUUUAUACUUGUAGUCCAGCCACGCUGGUGGCUGAGGCACGAGUUUGAGGGCAGCCUUGGCAAAACUAUCAUCCCCCACCCCCGCCAAAAAAAGAAAGAAAGAUGAAUGGUGGGGAAAUUGUUCUUCUUCUCCCUCCCCUCCCCCACCUUCUUUUGAGGAAGGCUCUUGCCUUGUAGUUCAGGCCAGCCUUGAACUCACCCUAUAGUCUAGGCUGACCUAGAACUCCAAGUGAUCUUCUUGCAUCAGUUUUCUGAGUCCUGGGAUUACAGGGUGCUCCAACCAUACCCAACACUCGUUUUGUUAAUGUGAAAACAUAAUUUUUUUGUUGUUUUAAGUGUAGGAAAAUUUAUUGGUAAAAGGAAUGGAAAACAGGAAUAGCUUCUGAGAGACAGGAGGGGAGCCCAAUGGGUUGUACUUUUUUUUUGGGGGGGGGACGGUCUCUCUCUGAGGCUAGGGCUGCCUUGAACUCAGCUAUGCAACCCAGGGUGGCCUGGGACUUGCAUCAGUCCUCCUGCCUCAGCCCCUCAGGUGUUGGGAUUACAGGCACGCACCACGGUAUCUGGUUAGGGCUGACUGCUUAGGUAUUUUCUCUUUUGCAAACUGUAAACUCUAGGUAAACCGUCAUUAUAGGCAGACAGCACCGUAUUUCAGUCCUGUUUUCUCUGAUCACUAGCAGCUAUUGUAGGAUGUGAGUCUCACUGCACCCAUUGGAGGAGUCUUGCAUAAUCUGGUACCUGUCCUCAGGCCCUGGGUGGCAGGUCUUGUGCAGGAGAGGCCUGCGUCAGCUUCUAUCUUUGGGGUAACCUCUGUUCUCUCAUGGGAGUCUUUUCUUCCAGAUAUGCUGAGCCCCAACCUCUGUGUAAACAAGAUUGUGUCCUGAUCAGGAAGAAAUGUUGAGGCACCGUGGGGCUAACUUAGUGGGCAGAGCCCCAAGAGUUAUAACAGGUACAGGGGCUGUAGGUACAGAAGAAAAAGUGAGACAGGACUGGCCUAGGAUUCUGACAUAGAAGGCCUGGGCUUGGUUUUCUCUGAUACUGUGUGAAACCAGCUUCUUAGAGGAACAGAAAACCUCGUGGUAGCUGAGGGGAAGAGGAUGCAACCAGGGUUAGAAACUGUCAGACAUUCAUGUAAUCCUACUACUCGGGAGGCUGAGGCAGGAUGAUCUUUGCAAGUUUGAGUUCGAGACCAGCCUAGGCUACAAAGAGAGCUCAAGGCCAGCCUGAACUGCAUAGAGAGACCCUGUUGAGAGAGAGAGAGAGAGAGAGAGAGAGAGAGAGAGACAGAGUCAGAGUCCACUGGACCACACUAGGGGGUGCCCCAUGUUUAACAGCGAACAUCCCAUGCAACCCUAAGAGUAGGGUAGGCUCAGUUCUAGUCCAAGGCUUUGGGACAGAGAAUCUGAUUCUGCUUGGAUCACACAUUCCCUUAGCCCAAUCAGCUGUGGGCAUGAGAGGUGUUAAACACUGCCACCAGGCUGCCUCAGCGGAAGUCGCAUUCUUGCCAGAAAAGUCCUGUGAUUUCUAAUGUGGCAAGAACUAGGCAAGUCCAAACUGAAGGACACUGCAAAGCAACUGGCCUGGAUUCUUUAAAAAGGCAAUCAAGCUGGCUGUGGUGGUGUGUGCCUGCAAUCACAGCAAUUGGGAGGCUGAGGCAGGAAGAUCUCUGAAUUUGAGAGCAGCCUGGACUACAUGGUGAGUUCAAAGCCAAUCUGAACUACAUAGUGAGACCCUGUCUCCAAAAAAAAAAAAAAAAAGAAAAAAGAAGUAGACAUUUUAAUGAUCAGUAAUUUGCUUCUCGAUAAACCAGAUUAAACUUUACAAGUACCAUUAAAUCAGCAGUUAUGAAGAACAAAAUGUCAGUGUAUAAACUACCUGCCAAUAAAGAUCAGUUGCUUAUUUUCUCUGAAAUUGACUGUUUAGUGUCCCCACCCCCCCUUUUUUAAAACUACACAGAGAUUAGGAACAACUGAGGAGCCAGGACAGUGGUGGCCCAAGUCUGUGUUCAUACCACUUGAGAGGCUGAGGCAGGAGGAGUGAAGCUUGAGACCAGUCUGGGCUACAUAAACAAGUUCAAAGCCAACCUGACUACAUAGUGAGGCUCUACUUCUGAAACAAACAAAACAUGAUGGAGAAAGUCAGGGGUGUGGUGGUACAUACAUACUAGUAAUCCCAGAAUUUUGGGAGGCUGAGGCAGGAGGGUUGCAAAUUCAAACUCAGCUUAGUUAAUUUAGGAAGACCAUUUCUACACAAAGGAAGGAAGGAGCCGAGAAUGUAACUGUGCUUUGAGUUUAAUCUCCUGUACUGAAAACAAAACACAAACAGAGAACAACUGAGAACCGACUGGGUGCCACGCCUAUGCCUGUUACAUUAAGUACAUGACCGGAAAAGAGGCCUGUAACAUCUGUGCUCUACAAUCACACUUGAAAUUUCCAUUUGUCCUAAAUCCAAACAGUUAAAACUAGAAAGUCCACUGCCAAUCUGUAAAACUAUUUUUAGAAUUUGAUAAUGUACCUAAACUGGCUGGUACCACCCACUGGUCACAGUGGUAAUCUAAGAACAAAGGAGAAGCUGCUUUUCUUAGCUCUGGAAGGUGAGUGGAGGGAGGGAGAGGACAGGAAAAUGGCAGGAGCCAGUCACGCCUGUGUCAGGGGCCCUCCUUGUUCUGCUCUGGCACCGGCUUCUGUCACAGCACCAGCCUGUGCUGGGUAGCUUCACACUGAUAAAAUGACAUUCUGUGUCAACAGGGAUUUUUUUUAAUUGAAAGAAAAACUAUUCAAAACAGAUGGUAAGAAAUUAGACUUUUAUCAAUACACAAGUAAGCUUACUUAAAAUCAGCUCAGUCACAUAUUUAAAAAAGUUGAUAACCUCUCAGUAACAAUGUCCCCUCCUGCACGGGUGUCAGCAAGCCUGCAGUCCCUGAGAAACAUCCGUGCACGAUGAUCCAGGUACUCGCUGACGCUCUCCUCUGGACACCAGCAGAUGGUCACAAACAAAACCAUCUCUGCCUGGCCGAGGUCGAAGAUUUCACAUAAAAGCUUCACAAAAUGUCUCUGAAGGAAACGCGGCAAUGUCAGAAGAGUUCCAGCACUUCAAUUGAAUACAAGCCUCUACUAUUCUUUUCUUGAUUUAAUUUCUGUAGCUCCCGAAAACUUACUUCAAUUUUGUUGAGCUCAGAAUAAACACUUAUCUGAAAAAAAAAAA